GAUGAACGCUGGCGGCGUGCCUAACACAUGCAAGUCGAACGGAAAGACGCUGAGCUUGUGCGGUUCUCGAUAGCGGAAGGCGGGAGUGUAACGCGUGUAUCCUGCACUUGUAUUUCGGGGAACAUCACGAAAAGGGGGCUAAGAUAGCAUAGAAUAUCCUGCACCGCGGGGGGCAAUGGAGAGUGUCGGCUUUGGGGGAUGUACUCGCUGCUUACGGGCUGGAUUAGCUGGUUGGGAGGGUCACGGCCUACCAAGGCUACGAGGCGUGGCCGAGCGGAGAGGGUGAUCGGCCACAUUGGAAGGGAGACACGGUCCAGACUCCUACGGGAGGCAGCAGUGGGGAACGUUAGGCAAUGGGCGGAAGCCUGACGCAGCAAGGCCGCGUGUGUGACGACGGCCUUCGGAUCGUAAAGCCCUCUUUUUGGGUAAGAACCGCUGUCGCCUUAGACGUAGCGGUAGUGACGGUACCGAAUCAGAAAGCACCGGCUAACUACGUG
rnacentral:rRNA from 1 species